rnacentral:misc_RNA from 1 species
AAACAAACAAGAUACCAAGAAAAACAGAAGGGAUUGUGGGUUUAUGAGAGGGUUUAGGGAGUGAAAUUGGUGCAGAGAAGCUAUUUGAGAGAAAAAGAACCCUGCUUUAGACCAAUAUAGAUCACAGAGCAACAGAUACACAGAUUUCCAAGAAACAUAAAUGCAAAGAGCAACGGCUGUUGGAGUCAAUCACUAAAGAACGUUAAAGAAAAGUGUUAUAGAAAUAUGUACAACUCCCCAUGAAAGGAAAUGAAUUUAGAAAGGGUUUCAGCCAUGGAUAUAAGAAGAGAUGACAAAGUCAAUACUGAAGAAGAAGACAGUAAGCUCAGCUAGCAUCAGCUGAAAACGCGGGCGACGAAGAGUGAAAACAAAGAGGAGACCAAAGGGAGAUAUAUAGGCAAAGGCUAGGCUUUAUGGGCUUGUCCUUAUUGAGUGAAUGUUUCCUUAUUUUGGUCCGUACAUCAAGAUCCCACCCAUGAUCCCGUCUCUCUUUGUUCAGUUUCUCGAGUACACCAACUGUCUAAAUUGAUCAUUUUUUGCUGGAGGAUCUUCGUUGCACUUCUGAUAUUUGAUAAUAACCAGCUUUCUCCUUUUGUCUUCUCAAAGAUGAGUCCUGAUUGAUCAAGCUUCAUCCAACGGCUGGGGAUUGUGCAAAUCACCACAUAAAGGAAACGCAACAACAUGACAGUACUCUGCUCUUAACGUAUUUGAAUGGUUGAAAUAGGAAAAAGAAAUUUUUGCUCAAGCCAUUUUCUGCUUUCGUCAUGGCGUUUUAGGGCUUUAGGCAACUUGCUGUGUUCUCUGUUGUUUGCUUUCAAUCUUUU